GGCUGGCAAAACCCUAUCCCAACCUCCUCGUGGUGCUGGCUGGAAUGUGCAAUGUUUUACAUAUACCAAUUGGGAAGG
rnacentral:ribozyme from 1 species